AAUCAAGUUGCACGAAGGGCAUAUAAUGGAUGCCUUGACACUUUGCUCCGAUGAAGGACGUGGCAAACUGCGAUAAGCUUCGGCGAGCCGUUAUACAGGCAUUGACCCGGAGAUUUCCGAACGGGGAAACCCCUCUGAUGUUAUGAUCAGAGACUCUCAACUGAAUACAUAGGUUGAGAAGAGGACACUUGGCGAACUGAAACAUCUAAGUAGCCAAGGAAAAGAAAUCAAAUGAGAUUCCCUUAGUAGUGGCGAGCGAACAGGGAAUAGCCCAAACUCGCUCCUCAUUGCAUUCGUCGCGAAAAUUCGAAAUCCGAAUCUUCGAAAUCCGAAAAAUUUUUUCGACUUUCGAUAUUCGAUAUUAGGAUUUGCGACGAGUGUAGCGAGGAGCGAGGGUUGUAGGACUCCGCCGUAGACCUUAUCUUUGUAGCUGAAGGAACCUGGAAAGGACCGCCAUAGCGGGUGAUAGCCCCGUAAGCAAAAUGAAGAUAAGUUCUUAGGAUGUUCCUGAGUAGGGUCGGACACGUGAAAUCCGGCUUGAAUCUGGGAGGACCACCUUCCAAGGCUAAACAGGCAAAGUGAUCGAUAGCGGACUAGUACCGUGAGGGAAAGGUGAAAAGCACCCCGGGAAGGGGGAUGAAAUAGUAUCUGAAAUUAUAUGCUCACAAAGAGUGGGAGUCCGUUCCUCACUGUGUUCGGAACGGAAAUUCGAAGCACGAAAACUCGAAACUCGAAACAAUAUUUAAUUUUCAAAAUUUAAAUGUUUCAAAUGAUUUUAAAUUUGAUUCAUUAUAAUUUUGGAUUUGUUUCGGAUUUCGGAUUUCGAAUUUUGAGUUUCUGCGACGAGCGUAGCGAGGAGCGGAUGACCGCGUGCUUUUUGUAGAACGAGCCAACGAGUUAGCUGUAUCUGGCAAGGCUAAGGGAGUAUACCCGGAGCCUCAGCGAAAGCGAGUGUGAAUAGCGCGUUCUGGCAAUUGCAUUCCGACCGUCACUUUAUACACAACGAUGCGACGAUAUAAUGACGCAACGAUGUAACUUAGCAAUUAACUUAAUAUUAGUAUUUAACCUGAAUAAUUAUGACUACUUACAAAGACUUAAAUGUGUAUCAACGGGCCUAUAAAGUGGCUAUCGAUUUACAUCUUUAUCUGAAGAAUGACAAACUUAAAAUGUCUCCUCAGCAGGCGGAGGAAUUUAAACGCCUGUCGCGGGAGAUCCUCGCGAAUAUUGCGGAGGGGUUUUCACAACGGACACCCAAGGCGAAGCGCUUUUUUAACUUUAAGGCGCUGGAUGCCGUACGCCGCAUGAUCAUGGAUAUGGAUUUUCUGCACGAUAUUCAAAGCCUUCCGGCGGAUGAAUAUCAGCACUUUUCCAGUGAGUACGAGAUCUGUGCCAAACAGCUCUUUAAACUCAACCAGUCCAUCUUAAACAAAGAGAUGGAAAAAGAGUCUGAGCCCGCUCAGGCUUAAAUCAAGAUAAAGUAUGGCGGUUGGAAUGCAGUUGCCAGAUGAGUCAGAUGCACUAGACCCGAAACUGGGUGAGCUAUCCAUGGGCAGGUUGAAGCGACAGUAAAAUGUUGUGGAGGACCGAACCCACCAGUGCCGCAAGACUGGGGGAUGACCUGUGGAUAGGGGUGAAAUGCUAAUCGAACCCAGAGAUAGCUGGUUCUCCUCGAAAUAGCUUUAGGGCUAGCCUCGAGU
rnacentral:rRNA from 1 species